ACACUGUACGAGUUUGAUCAUGGCUCAGAACGAACGCUGGCGGCAGGCCUAACACAUGCAAGUCGAGCGCGCCCUUCGGGGUGAGCGGCGGACGGGUGAGUAACGCGUGGGAACGUGCCCUUUGCUACGGAAUAGUCUCGGGAAACUGGGGGUAAUACCGUAUGAGCCCUUCGGGGGAAAGAUUUAUCGGCAAAGGAUCGGCCCGCGUUGGAUUAGGUAGUUGGUGGGGUAAUGGCUCACCAAGCCGACGAUCCAUAGCUGGUUUGAGAGGAUGAUCAGCCACACUGGGACUGAGACACGGCCCAGACUCCUACGGGAGGCAGCAGUGGGGAAUCUUAGACAAUGGGCGCAAGCCUGAUCUAGCCAUGCCGCGUGAGCGAUGAAGGCCUUAGGGUUGUAAAGCUCUUUCGUGGGGGAAGAUAAUGACUGUACCCCAAGAAGAAGCCCCGGCUAACUCCGUG
rnacentral:rRNA from 1 species